ACAAUGAAGAGUUUGAUCCUGGCUCAGGAUGAACGCUAGCGGCAGGCCUAACACAUGCAAGUCGAGGGGCAACGGGUGUAGCAAUACAUGCCGGCGACCGGCGGACG
rnacentral:rRNA from 1 species